rfam:Candidatus Atribacteria bacterium RBG_19FT_COMBO_35_14 rbg_19ft_combo_scaffold_1072, whole genome shotgun sequence.
CUAAAAGUUAUAAUAAAGAUAAGUAGGUUAUAACUAACUUAAUAUUUAACCCGGAUAAGCAAUAACCGAAAUUCACUUUAGAACUGCAGGCUGAAAUUUUAAAAAAGUAAGUUUUGCCAGCACUCCACUGUUACAAGGAGGAAAGUACGGAUUUGCUUAAUAAAAAGCAGGUCAAAAAGGGUGGUACCGCGGAAAAGGUUAAUAAUUUUCGUCCCUUUA